GACGGGGGGAGCAAGCGUUGUUCGGAAUCACUGGGCGUAAAGGGCGUGUAGGCGGUUUGGUAAGUGGAAUGUGAAAUCCCCCGGCUUACCCGGGGACCUGCAUCCCAUACUGCCAAGCUUGAGUACGGGAGAGGAUGAGGGAAUUCCUGGUGUAGCGGUGAAAUGCGUAGAUAUCAGGAGGAACACCGGUGGCGAAAGCGCUCAUCUGGCCCGAUACUGACGCUGAUGCGCGAAAGCUAGGGGAGCAAACGGG
rnacentral:rRNA from 1 species